UACGGAGGAUGCGAGCGUUAUCCGGAUUUAUUGGGUUUAAAGGGUGCGUAGGCGGGCUGUUAAGUCAGCGGUCAAAUGCCGGGGCUCAACCCCGGCCUGCCGUUGAAACUGGCGGCCUCGAGUGGGCGAGAAGUAUGCGGAAUGCGUGGUGUAGCGGUGAAAUGCAUAGAUAUCACGCAGAACUCCGAUUGCGAAGGCAGCAUACCGGCGCCCGACUGACGCUGAGGCACGAAAGCGUGGGUAUCGAACAGG
rnacentral:rRNA from 1 species